UAUUUCAUUCUUUCCAAUUCAUAGUUUGACUUGGUAUCAGUGCAAAGAUCCGAGAGGACUUUAUUUCUUUAUUUUUUCUUCAUUGUUCUUUCCUCACACUCCGGGGUUAGAUCUCUGUUCCUUCCUCUAAUCUAUAGGUUUGGAUUGUUUUCUGUCUUUCAGAAGGUUUCUUGCGGCUUCCUGACUAGUCGAUCAAUCUCUCUCGAUCAGUCGACGCACCUUCUGUCUCAAUUCCGCUGCAUAAUCAAGUGUUUCGUUAUGGCAUUCUAUCAAUUGUUAUGCAACUACUGCAAGAACUUUGGACAUACCAACGCAACAUGUUACAAAUUGGUUGGCUACCCACCUGGCUACUUUAACAAUUCGAAAUCUGAUGGUGCCUCAGAUCAUAUGACUUAUGAUAAAUCUCGUUUUUCCUAUUUGUCACCCCCGCCUGUAAUGUUAUAAAUGCUAAUGGAUCCUUCUCACUAGGGAAACAAUUGGUCGUGGAUAUAUAUGUGAGGGGGAAACUGUUCCAUCUUGAUUGCAUGUAUGGCGGAGAGAAGCCAACAAAGACACCCCGAACUACUUUGACAACAAGUUCUGAUCUAAUUAGUGAGGUAUGGUUGUGGCAUCGCCUUCUUGGGCAUCCUUAUUUGUUCAUUGGGAUAAAUGAGUCUGCUUUACGUUGGUGAAACUUGUGCUCUUGCUAAGAGUCAUCAUGCUAGUUAUCCUUCAAGUGUUUCCAAUAAAAGUGCUACGAACUUAUUCAUUUUGAUGUGUGGGGACCUUUCAA